rnacentral:rRNA from 1 species
ACACUUGGAAACGAGAGCUAAUACCCGAUACGCUGUGGAGUGAAAGAAUUUCGCCGAGGGAUGAUCUUGCGUCUGAUUAGCUAGUUGGUGUGGUAAUGGCACACCAAGGCGACGAUCAGUAGCUGGUCUGAGAGGAUGGACAGCCACAUUGGAACUGAGACACGGUCCAAACUCCUACGGGAGGCAGCAGUGGGGAAUUUUCCGCAAUGGACGCAAGUCUGACGGAGCGACGCUGCGUGAAGGAUGACGGCCCGCGGGUUGUAAACUUCUUUUCUCGAAGAAGAAACAAAUGACGGUAUUCGAGGAAUAAGCAUCGGCUAACUCCGUGCCAGCAGCCGCGGUAAGACGGAGGAUGCAAGUGUUAUUCGGAAUGAUUGGGCGUAAAGAGUCUGUAGGCCGUAUAGAAAGUCUUUUGUUAAAUGCCUCGGCUCAACCGAGAUCCAGCAAAGGAAACUUCUAUACUUGAGGGAAGUAUAGGUACAGGGAAUUCCCGGUGGAGCGGUGAAAUGCGUAUAUAUCGGGAGGAACACCAAUAUGG